rnacentral:rRNA from 1 species
CCUACGGGCGGCAGCAGUGGGGAAUAUUGCACAAUGGGGGAAACCCUGAUGCAGCGACGCCGCGUGAGUGAAGAAGUAUCUCGGUACGUAAAACUCUAUCAGCAGGGAAGAAAAUGACGUUACCUGACUAAGAAGCCCCGGCUAACUACGUGCCAGCAGCCGCGGUAAUACGGAGGGGGCAAGCGUGAUCCGGAUUUACUGGGUGUAAAGGGAGCGUAGACGGGAGCACAAGUCUGGAGUGAAAUCCCGGGGCUUAACCCCGGAACUGCUGUGGAAACUGUGCGGCUGGAGUGCAGGAGGGGUAAGCGGAAUUCCUAGGGUAGCGGUGAAAUGCGUAGAUAUUAGGAGGAACACCGGUGGCGAAGGCGGCUUACUGGACUGUAACUGACGUUGAGGCUCGAAAGCGUGGGGAGCAAACAGGAUUAGAUACCCCAGUAGUC